GCAAUCGAGGAACACUCACCGCAGUCUGGCUUGCUGCCACGUGUUCUAGUUCCAGCGAAUUCCACACCGUGAGGAUCCACGCACCAGCAGAGUCCUAGACCACGGUGACAUUGGGUGCUUCGGUAAUACCCUCGGGAAUCGCAAGCAGGUGCAACGUCGGGGGAUGAUCGCUUGCGUACAGCGGCGCAGGGACGUUCAGCCUUUGAGAAACAUCCGCACCAUUCGGGACCAUUCACGAAAAUGUCUCUGAAAAUUGUCGAACGUGAUAGAUAUUUGCUAAUAUCCUUCAUCUCGUGGUAGUUGGAUCUCCAAUGCCUUUGAUCUAUUACAUUUGGUCCUCGUCAUAGAUAUGAAAGUUACAUGUAUGCCGUAUAUGUAUUAUAUAUCUCAUUAAUAGUCUUACACCAAGAAGCUACUAUGAAUUAAUUAUUUAAGACGAUCCAUAGACUGGGUAACAGAGUUCACCGUCCCGGAAUGGCGAGGAAACCUUUCAUGGAGACUACAUAACACCCCUUAACAUUUCAACUUAAUCUCUAUAUAUACUCUGGAACAGAGAACGGAAAUUCCGCUUCUUGAGAGUAACAAACGCAACGUGGCAUCGUUUCUUAUUUCCCGGUUUGCAUGCGAGUAAAAAGCAAUCGACUCGGAAUGAAAGUUUCACACACGGUCCAUGUGUCUGCCUCUUAACGACCAACCACUCCGCUCCGUAGGCACGUACGCUCGAGACCUAUUACGCUCGAGCGUCAAGCCCCUCGAAGGUCACGUAUCCGUGGAGUUUAAUGAUUUACAAGCAACGGACGACGGGAUUACGUAAAAAG